GCGUGGGUGGGGUAGUGGUAACCUUAGUCGUUGCCAUCGACUAGCCAGGGGUUCGAUUCCCUUUCCACGCA
rnacentral:tRNA from 1 species